rnacentral:lncRNA from 1 species
ACUUCUGACACUCAGGAAGCUAUUAUUGUUGUAAAAUUAAUUUUAUCCUUGUUAGAAAUGAAAGUAAGCUCUUUUAUUUUAAGGAAUUUUACCUUAACCUGUUGGAGCACGUGAGUAAUGGUUGACAUUUUUCUGAGAUGAUUUUUUUCCUUUUUAAAUUUUUAUUUAAUUUCUAGAUAGUUGACAUAUAGUGUAGUACUGGUUUCAGGAGUAGAAUUUAGUGAUUCAUCGCUUACGUACAACACCCAGUGCUCACAAUAACAAGUGCCCUCCUUAAUGCCCGUCACCCAUCUAGCCCAUCCCCCACCCUCUGAGAUGAUUUAAAAUUUUUUUCCUUUAGUGGAAUGCUUACCUCUUUUUUUUCCAGAGUAUUGUAUUUUUCCCCGAAGUUACAUCAGAAAGUUAGCUCUGGUUAGAGAGGCUAGCUUUAGAGUAAUCCAAAAAACAAAUACUAAUUAUAUUUUAUUUCAUUUAAUAAAGGGUAUUUUCCCAGGGUAGAUGCUUGGGCAUCUAUGGAAGUGAGCAUUCACCGUUUGGUAUGUUGUUUUGAAUAUUGGGUUUUUGUUUAUCAUGUAAUUUGUGAAUAAAUAGUUUUUUUCCUGCAUUUUAAAGAUUUGCCUCUUUGUGUUGUUAGCUUUUGAAAAAUUAGAUUUAUUUAAUUUCUUUGUUAUGUGAGAAUAAAAUAUAUAAAGCACCUUGGACAGUGUCUUGCAGAGGAUGCACUCAGGAAAUGUUAGCUGUUUCUAUGAAGAACUUGAAUUAGUUUGGAGAUAUUUAACCUCCGUUUCUUCUGAUUUUAAGAAGACUUUGUGAGUCAGUAGCCUUUCUAAAUUGACUCUGGACCAGCCAUUCUGGAGCUUUGAUUUCAUGACAUAUACGUAUCUACAUGAGUUGUGAGUUGACACAGGAAUCAUAGUUCCAUGAUUAUCUUUAAAUCAAUUGGUAUAUUAAAUGUGUUUUUUUCUGAGAGAUUUUUAUUAAGCCAAUGGUGUGUACUUUGUAAUUGAUGACAUUUUAGGAUUGAGAAAGUAAGGGUUUGGGUUUUUUUUUUUUAAUCAAUAAGUGAUUGACUCAUUACCAAAGUAAAUUAAAAUGAAAUAUGUCACUUGAGUCCCUCGCAAUUAAAUAUAGUCUCUUGAAUGGAAGGGAAGGUGU